UCUAUAAUAUAAUGGAAAUGCACCUCUGGGAAUGAACCUGAGCAGAGCCAGAGGGUACCAGUUACAUCCAUGAACAUGUAGUCCAGACCUUGUGUUACCUGUAGAGCUGCACCAGUGCUCCUCCAUCAACUUGUACCAAUGACCAGAUGGGGUUCCUAUACAACCAGUUGAAGGAGAAAGGAAGUAUCUGAACCUGAUCUAUGAAUAGAUCAAGAGAAAUGACCCAAAGUGUCAGUGAAGGGCUUUGGAGAAAAAUAAUGGAAUACUGGAGACAUCUUCCAGAUAGAGGCAUGUAGAGGAAAGGACAGGGAACACUCAGAGGAGCCGCUCCUCAAACCUGUGGAAGCAGCAGGUCUGAACCACGCAGGGAGGAGUGUCGUAGCUGUAAGAAUGUGCCUCAUCGACUUCUUGCCACACGGGGUAGGGCUGACCAGGGCCUCAGCUACUGGGCUUUGGAAUUCAUUGUGGAGUUGUCCUGAGAUCAUGCUCCCUUGUGCAGCAUCCAGCCAAUGACUGGGAAUGUCAGAGAUACUACG